GGCCAAUUUAGAAUCGCCAAUCCACCUAACCUGCAUGUCUUUGGAUUGUGGGAGGAAACCGGAGCACCCGGAGGAAACCCACGCAGACACGGGGAGAACAUGCAAACUCCACGCAGGGAGGACCCGGGAAGCGAACCCAGGUCUCCUAACUGCAAGGCAGCAGCGCUACCACUGCGCCACCGUGCCGCCCAU